rnacentral:misc_RNA from 1 species
UCUCCGUAGGUGAACCUGCGGAGGGAUCAUUACAGAGUUCAUGCCCUACCGGGUAGAUCUCCCACCCUAUGUAAUUAUUACUUUGUUGCUUUGGCGGGCCGUUAGGCUCCGGCCCGACUACCGGCCCCGGCUGGUAAGCGCCCGCCAGAGGACCCAAAACCCUGAAUAUUAGUGUCGUCUGAGUACUAUAUAAUAGUUAAAACUUUCAACAACGGAUCUCUUGGUUCUG